AUGUUCGUUAAAAAUGUGCCAAUAUACAUACAUUCAUCAAUUCAAUACCUUAUAAACUACAAAAUAAAGUUCAAGUCACAUGCUUGUUGCCCAAACAUCGCGAUUCAAAACAGAAAUUCCCACAUGAAUCGCCCAGCAAAACAAUCAUACCCUGCUGCAACUCUUACUAACGUAUGCAUCCAUGCAUUAGUAUAG